AGGAGCCACAGACAAACUUUCAUGAUACAAUGCAUUCAGUGCCACAUCCGAGAGGUCUGUGCAGAGCAUGAGCUGGACACUCAGACGGGCUGCCUAAUCCAGCGGAAUGGGGGCGUUGCAUCCUGGGAGGGAGGAAAGGAAAGGCUUCUAAAAGGUGGUGAGGAGUUCCCGCUGGGCCCUGCGGAAACUAAUCUGACUAGGAUCCAUGAGGACACAGGUCCAAUUGCAAUGCCGGAUCCUUAACCCAGAGUAUCAGACCAGGUAGACAGUGAACCCAGGGUGCCACAAAGACACCACCAGAUCCUUAACCCAGUGCCCCACAGCAGAAACUCCCCUAAAUGAGAUCUCACAGCAACGCCAGAUCCUUUAACCCACUGAGUGAAGCCAGAGAUGGAACCCACAUCCUCAUGGACACUAGUCAGGUUCUUGACCGACUGAGCCACAGGGAGACUCCCAAAGGAGAUGAUAUUUGGAGCGGAGUCCUAGAGGGUGAAGCUGUAAGUGGGUUGAUGGAUGGUAAAUCUGGUCGAAGGGGCAGUAUGAACAAGAGGAACAGAUACAAGAAGGAGAAAAAAAGAACAAGUGUCUGAAUGCAAACCCCAUUCAGGUUCGAGUUGCUGGAAUGUCAAAAGAAAGGCCUAGGAGUUCCCACUGUGGUGCAGGAGGUUAAGGAUUCAGUGCUGCCGCUUCUGGGGCAUCGGUCGAAGCUGUGGCUUGAGCCUGAUCCCUGGCCCAGGAAUUCCUUGCACUGUGGGUGCAGCCAUUAAAAAAGAAUUGAAAAAAGAAAGGCGUUGGAGUUCCCAUCGUGGCACAGCAGAAAUGAAUCUGACUAGAAAGACUAGAAACCAUGGGUUUGUCGGUUCGAUCCCUGGCCUCAUUCAGUGGGUUAAGGAUCUGGCGUUGCCAUGAGCUGUGGUGUAGGUCGCAGAUGUGGCUUGGAUCCCGCGUUGCUGUGGCUCUGGUGUAGGCCAGCGGCUACAGCUCCGAUUGGACCCCUAGCUUGGGAACCUCCAUAUGCCACAGGUGUGGCCCUAAAAAGCUAAAAGGAAAGAAAAAGAAGAAAAAAGAAAGGCCUAGAGGCUUAGGAUCACCUGCUAGAGAGGCGGGGCUGGAGAUGACCAGAGGGUCUUGUUGGCAACACUAAACCACCUUAUCUGCUGGGAGUUGGUCAGUAAUGUUUCCAUUUAGAAGGGAAUUGGUUUUGGACAAGAUUGAAAGGGGAAGAGCAGAGGGAGGCAGAGAGAGUAUUAAAGAGCUGAUUGUGAGUUGGGGGCAGGGGUCCGGGCAGUGGCUGCAUCUGGAGGGGGAGCUGGGGUGAAGAGUUGCUUAGGAAAUGAAGUUUUCUGAUCUUGCCAUCUUAUGCAGUGAUGGGCGAGGGACCGGGNUCUGGAGGGGGAGCUGGGGUGAAGAGUUGCUUAGGAAAUGAAGUUUUCUGAUCUUGACAUCUUAUGCAGUGAUGGGCGAGGGACCGGGAAUGGUCAAGGGUGC
rnacentral:lncRNA from 1 species